rnacentral:rRNA from 1 species
AUGGCCGCCCAUCGGUCGGUGCUGGAGCGGCGGCGGACCCGAGCGGUCGGAGCCCGCUCGUCUGUAGAGGCCACCAUGGCCGCUGCCUUGGGACUCCCGGUGGCGCGCGUGGGGCCACUGGUGGUGGUGGAGCAGGGGAGCAGGGGAUCCUGGAGCGGAGUGGACAGCCGAGCGACCGGAGCCAGCUCGCCUGCAGAGGCCACCAUGUCCGCCGCCGUGGGAUUCCCGGUGACGCGAAGGGUUCCUACGGGGACGGGAUCCGGCGGCGGCACUCCGGAUCUGGUGGUCUGGCCUGGAAGAACGAUGAGGAAAUGA